GACAGCAGCAGCCGCGGGAAUACAGAGGGUGCGAGCGUUAAUCGGAUUUACUGGGCGUAAAGCGUGCGUAGGCGGCUUUUUAAGUCGGAUGUGAAAUCCCUGAGCUUAACUUAGGAAUUGCAUUCGAUACUGGGAAGCUAGAGUAUGGGAGAGGAUGGUAGAAUUCCAGGUGUAGCGGUGAAAUGCGUAGAGAUCUGGAGGAAUACCGAUGGCGAAGGCAGCCAUCUGGCCUAAUACUGACGCUGAGGUACGAAAGCAUGGGGAGCAAACAGGAUUAGAUACCCCCGUAGUCCCUGUCUCUUAUAC
rnacentral:rRNA from 1 species